rnacentral:lncRNA from 1 species
GUGCCGGUCUAUCCAGAUUGAUCACUGUUCUCAUGAUGAUUCUAUGAUCAAAAUAUUUAAGAAUUUAAUAUAUGUCUCUAAUUCUCAAUUCUUUGAGAAUAUAUAUCGAAAGCUAAUUCCAUAGAUGAUUCAAGGACACAUCACACUUGAAUGCUAAAUAAACUUAUCCUUUUAUUGAUCAUAUCAAUGUAUUAAGUAUAAAAUUAUAUCCU